rnacentral:rRNA from 1 species
CAUGCAGCCGAGCGGUAGAGAUCUUUCGGGAUCUUGAGAGCGGCGUACGGGUGCGGAACACGUGUGCAACCUGCCUUUAUCAGGGGGAUAGCCUUUCGAAAGGAAGAUUAAUACCCCAUAAUAUAAGAAACGGCAUCGUUUUUUAUUGAAAACUCCGGUGGAUAGAGAUGGGCACGCGCAAGAUUAGAUAGUUGGUGAGGUAACGGCUCACCAAGUCAACGAUCUUUAGGGGGCCUGAGAGGGUGAUCCCCCACACUGGUACUGAGACACGGACCAGACUCCUACGGGAGGCAGCAGUGAGGAAUAUUGGACAAUGGGUGCGAGCCUGAUCCAGCCAUCCCGCGUGAAGGACGACGGCCCUAUGGGUUGUAAACUUCUUUUGUAUAGGGAUAAACCUACCCUCGUGAGGGUAGCUGAAGGUACUAUACGAAUAAGCACCGGCUAACUCCGUGCCAGCAGCCGCGGUAAUACGGAGGGUGCAAGCGUUAUCCGGAUUUAUUGGGUUUAAAGGGUCCGUAGGCUGAUUUGUAAGUCAGUGGUGAAAUCUCACAGCUUAACUGUGAAACUGCCAUUGAUACUGCAGGUCUUGAGUGUUGUUGAAGUAGCUGGAAUAAGUAGUGUAGCGGUGAAAUGCAUAGAUAUUACUUAGAACACCAAUUGCGAAGGCAGGUUACUAAGCAACAACUGACGCUGAUGGACGAAAGCGUGGGGAGCGAACAGGAUUAGAUACCCUGGUAGUCCACGCCGUAAACGAUGCUAACUCGUUUUUGGGGCGCAAGUUUCAGAGACUAAGCGAAAGUGAUAAGUUAGCCACCUGGGGAGUACGAACGCAAGUUUGAAACUCAGAGGAAUUGACGGGGGCCCGCACAAGCGGUGGAUUAUGUGGUUUAAUUCGAUGAUACGCGAGGAACCUUACCAAGGCUUAAAUGGGAUAUGACAGGUUUAGAAGUAGACUUUUCUUCGGACUUUUUCAAGUGCUGCAUGGUUGUCGUCAG